rnacentral:lncRNA from 1 species
UUCCGGAAGGUGUGCCUCAAAGCAGUGUGUACCUAAAAAUAAAAAAUAGGGAGAGAAAAAUAAGUGCCAACAACAACAACAUCAACACAGCAACAACAACAUCAUUUACGUUAACAGUAGCAACAGCAGUUUAGACAAAAGAAAAGCAACAUGCACGGAGCCGAGCUAAUAUCUUAUAUAGUUCAAGCUCCUCCUGCUAUUCGUGUGCCUUAUCUCCCACCAAUCACAAUCGUCAUCGCAUGUAUUUUGGUGGUGCUCACUAUUUUUAUACUGAUUUGUGAAAUUCUACGAGUGAAAAAGGCCUCAAAACCAUCCCUUCUACUCGCAGAAAAGGAGCCACUUCCUGAAAGAAGCUCAAAUGCUGAAGACAAAGAAUAAGGACCAAAACCCUUCGAUGCCCUUCUCCUCAAACAACGGCCCUUCGAAAACUUCCCCAUCAACAACGUUUGCAUCAACGGCCUUCACCAACAUUGCUUUUCACAUAAUUGGUCCCCAUGGAAAACUUCGAUAUCAACGACGGCCUUCACAAACAUCGAUGCCCUCACCAGCAUCGCCCUUCACAAAUUUGGUCCUUAUCAACGUCGAUAUCAACAACAACCCUUACCAACAUCAAUAGCCAUCACCAACAUUGAAGGCCAUCACCAACAUGGGCAGCCCCCGCCAAUAUAGCCCUUCACACACAUGGUCCUCACAGUAAACUUCCACAAAAGCAAAGGGACUACUACUACAGUAACCAACAACCAACAACAACCUCCGCAAGCAUGCUCAACAAGAAAAACGAGCGCAACAACAAGGGCCAUCACCAACCACGCCGUUAAGGCCCCUUCAACAAGAACGUAGCCUACAAAGCCUGCUUACAAUGUCCCCACCAACAACCGUGCUUUGUACCCCUACACGCCAUGUUUCUUUUUUGUAUUAGUAAGAGGGACCCUUAAUUUUUAUGUAUCGGAAACGAUGGAGUUCAGUAUGACUGUAUGUUCUCUCUCUCUUUAGAAAAUAAAGUAUUUUCGCAUGACA